UUUUCAUCUAAUCCGUCAUGAAGUUACCUUUCAACUUUAUUUUGGGCCCUCUUCUAAAACCCUAUUUGGGCAAUACUAAAAUGUUUUGCGGACAUCCGACGUUUACUAUAAGAAUUUUUUACACUUACUUCUAUGGGAUAGUUGGUUUGUGUCUUAGUGCGAAACAUUUAAGAAAACAUUUGGGCGAGACACCAACUUCUAAUAUAUCAACUGAUGAUGCUAAUUCAUAUCAAAAUUUUAUGUUUGUCCACGAUUUGAAGAUAAUCGCUGCGUCUAUGGGACUGGUGCAAUAUUUUUGCCUUGUCAUUGGAUGUAUUACCCAUAAUCCAGGACUAUUUUUACCUCACCUUGCCGGACAGCUGAUCUUAGUUUCCGCAAAACUUUUCCAUAUUCUUUUAUCACUGCCGCUUAUUAAAAUCAAGACUUUUGCC